UAAAUUUCAUCAAUCUCUUUCACAGACAAUUUUGUUUGCAUAAUGAGUUCACAUAGUAGGGAAUCUGAUGAGAGGCAAUGAGAGUAUGAGUGCCAACUUGAAUGUGAACGUCAAGAAAUAUUCAUAAUGAAUGCUGACCACAUUGAACAACAACAAGCAACACCACCUGACCAUCAUUCGUUAUCAUGACGGUCAAUGAUGCGUAACAAGGAGGAAGGUCAUGAAUGAUUAAUGUGAGAUUAUUUCUACAGCUACCGUGGAAGAUUCUGGAGUUCCUAUUUUCUUCUUCUUUUGUUUAUCAUGACCUCCAGGGCGGUUGAUAAUAGAAGGAGGGUUACUUGCUUGAACCUCAGGAUAUCACUCUCUCUGAAUGGCAUGGUGGAAUGAGGGGUCUCCAUUGGAGGAAUUGACGGUAUGGGAACAUAAAACUCUUGCAAAUACUUUGAACAUGUUCCAAGUAUUUCCCAACAAUGAUCAUACUUGAACGCCUUUUCUUUGUUGUCCGCUUGAAAAAUUGUUCUCGCUUGACGAUCCUAUAUUCAAUUGAUUCAAUUACACAAGUUAGAGAUGAUAUUCAUGAAUAAAAGUAAUUAUAAAACUUAACAUAAUUAAAUACUCAAAGUAUACUAACCACGUCACUUAUAUUUGAACCGCUUGUGGGUAUCGCAUUUGCCCUUCUCAAUGAUCUGUUUUAAAGAUUGCAACUGGUGUUGAUAGUUAUCCACCGACAUUGCAAUCCCACAGCCAUACGCUGCUUUACAAAUUGCGUUGUCUAAAAAAUGUGCGAACUCGAUGAUCGUUUGUUCGAUUCCUAUGCUCCCAUCUUCCGAAAUUUCAGCCCAAGUUUUGCAUAAAGCUUGAUCUUAUUGAAUGCUCCAAUUCGGACCUCGGGCACUCGUAGACAUUGAUUAGAGUUAGGAGAAUUUGAAGACAAUAGAAAAUAAAGAGAAGUGGU
rnacentral:lncRNA from 1 species